rnacentral:rRNA from 1 species
UACGUAGGGUGCGAGCGUUAAUCGGAAUUACUGGGCGUAAAGCGUGCGCAGGCGGUCUUUUAAGUCAGAUGUGAAAUCCCCGGGCUUAACCUGGGAACUGCGUUUGAAACUGAAAGGCUAGAGUGUGGCAGAGGGGGGUGGAAUUCCACGUGUAGCAGUGAAAUGCGUAGAGAUGUGGAGGAACACCGAUGGCGAAGGCAGCCCCCUGGGCUAACACUGACGCUCAUGCACGAAAGCGUGGGGAGCAAACAGG